rnacentral:misc_RNA from 1 species
UCGCUCUUCAACGAGGAAUCCCUAGUAAGCACAAGUCAUCAGCUUGUGUUGAUUACGUCCCUGCCCUUUGUACACACCGCCCGUCGCUACUACCGAUUGAAUGGCUUAGUGAGACCUUCGGAUCGGCUUUCAAUAGUUGGCAACAACAUUUGUUUGCUGAAAAGUUGUUCAAACUUGGUCAUUUAGAGGAGGUAAAAGUCGUAACAAGGUUUCCGUAGGUGAACCUGCGGAAGGAUCAUUAAUGAUUUUUUAAGCAAACCGAGCGAAAGCGAGGUUUUGCGAAUAUAUUUAAAACCCCCCACUCUUUAUAAAAGAAAAAAUUUUCAUAUUCAUAAAUGAAUAAAAAAAAGAUCACUUUCAACAACGGAUCUCUUGGCUCUCGCAUCGAUGAAGAACGCAGCGAAAUGCGAUAAGUAGUGUGAAUUGCAGAAUUACGUGAAUCAUCGAAUCUCUGAACGCAAAUUGCACUCUCUGGUAUUCCGGGGAGUAUGCCUGUUAGAGGGUCGCUUAACAAACAUCGAUUUCAUCGCUUUUUUUUUAAGAGUGAUGUUUCGGAUUUGAGCCGUCUUUUUUUUAUAUAUUUUAUAUUUAUUUAAAAGUGGCUUAAAAUUGAUUUUUCUGGUAUGAUCGGAAGCGUAUUUAUGAUCAAUUUUUGGUUAAAUAAACGCACGCGUACCUUCAUUCAUAUGAUGUAAUACGUUUGACUAUCGGAUUUAGUUCAUUCG